rnacentral:rRNA from 1 species
CGCCUGUUUAUCAAAAACAUGUCCUUUAGAAUUAUUUAUUUAAGGUCUAACCUGCCCAAUGAUUAAGUUUAAUGGCCGCAGAAUUUUAACUGUGCUAAGGUAGCAUAAUCACUUGUCUUUUAAUUGAGGGCUUGUAUGAAUGGUUGGACGAGAUAUUAACUUUCUUUAAUUUAAUUAUUAGAAUUUAAUUUUUUAGUUAAAAAGCUAAAAUUUAUUAGUGGGACGAGAAGACCCUAUAGAUCUUUACUUUUAUUUUAUUUUAAUAAAUAUGGUUGUUAAAUUGAUUAAAAUAAAUGUAAGUUUGGUUGGGGUGAUUAUAGAAUUUAUUUAACUUCUAUUUAUUUUUUUUCAUAAAUGAGUGAUUUUUUGAUCCAAUUAUAUUGAUUAUAAGAUUAAGUUACCUUAGGGAUAACAGCGUAAUUUCUUUGGAUAGUUCUUAUUGAUAAGGAAGUUUGCGACCUCGAUGUUGGAUUAAAAUAAGUAAUGGGUGCAGUAGCUCAUAUACUAGGUCUGUUCGACCUUUAAUUUUUUACAUGAUCUGAGUUCAAACCGGAG